GUAGGGAAUCUUCCACAAUGGACGCAAGUCUGAUGGAGCAACGCCGCGUGAGUGAAGAAGGUUUUCGGACCGUAAAGCUCUGUUGUUGGUGAAGAAGGAUAGAGGUAGUAACUGGCCUUUAUUUGACGGUAAUCAACCAGAAAGUCACGGCUAACUACGUGCCAGCAGCCGCGGUAAUACGUAGGUGGCAAGCGUUGUCCGGAUUUAUUGGGCGUAAAGCGAGCGCAGGCGGAAGAAUAAGUCUGAUGUGAAAGCCCUCGGCUUAACCGAGGAAUUGCAUCGGAAACUGUUUUCUUGAGUGCAGAAGAGGAGAGUAGGACUCCAUGUGUAGCGGUGGAAUGCGUAGAUAUAUGGAAGAAUACCAGUGGCGAAGGCGGCUCUCUGGUCUGCAACUGACGCUGAGGCUCGAAAAGCAUGGGUAGCGAACAGGAUUAGAUACCCUGGUAGUCCAUGCCGUAAACGAUGAGUGCUAAGUGUUGGGAGGCUUCCGCCUCUCAGUGCUGCAGCUAACGCAUUAAGCACUCCGCCUGGGGGAGUACGACCGC
rnacentral:rRNA from 1 species